rnacentral:tRNA from 1 species
UUUUAUAUAGUUUAAAAAAAACAUUAUAAUUUCAAUAUAAUAUUAAUAAUUAAUUAUUUAUAAAAA